rnacentral:rRNA from 1 species
AGUGAACGCUGGCGGCGUGCCUAAUACAUGCAAGUCGAACGGAGAUUAAGUAGCUUGCUAUUUAAUCUUAGUGGCGCACGGGUGAGUAAUAUAUAGCUAACUUGCCCAUUACUAAGGGACAACAGUUGGAAACGACUGCUAAUACCUUAUACUCCGUAUCUAUAUAAGUAGAUACGGGAAAGUUUUUCGGUAAUGGAUAGGGCUAUAUCGUAUCAGCUAGUUGGUAAGGUAAUGGCUUACCAAGGCUAUGACGCGUAACUGGUCUGAGAGGAUGAUCAGUCACACUGGAACUGAGACACGGUCCAGACUCCUACGGGAGGCAGCAGUAGGGAAUAUUGCUCAAUGGGGGAAACCCUGAAGCAGCAACGCCGCGUGGAGGAUGACACUUUUCGGAGCGUAAACUCCUUUUCUUGGGAAAGAAUUANGAC